UGUACCUACCAUCAUUCCCUUGGAAAACUGAUGGCUAAAAUACUAUAAAAGAUAAGUAUGUUUAAGUAGUUAUAAGCAAAGUACAUAUGUAUAUAUAUGUAGAAUAAAUAUUGUAUUUUUCUGUUAGAAUUGAAAAUCUUAGGUUGUACUAGAGUCCUUCAAUUUUUAUGCUAAGUAUUGGUUGUAACCUGAAUAUGAUAGUAGUUAGCAUGAACGCUGAAAUCAUAGUUUUGCCAUUUGAAAUAUGACUGAGUGAGGUAAUAGUGUUCUUUGGUGAGCAUUUUGAGUUUUGUGCUUCACAUCUGUAAACUGAUAAAAUCCUAUUAUGCCUUCCAGCUGUGAUGCUUAUACCGUGGGCUGCAGAAUUAUAAGAUUAAACAUUCUACAUAAGCAUUAAGAAUCGUCUGCACCUCUGCAGGGCUAUCCUAAGUUGUUAUUAACUUCAGACAUCUUUUCUCACCCAAAGCAAGCUCACACAUCUUGGAAAGUGCUUGUCAUUUUCAUUUGUCUUAUUUUUACUGUCCACCUUCUUUGUACCUCUGUACCUCCCUAUGUGAAACUAUUUCUGGUUAUGGAUCCUCUUCUAGAAUUAGUUGAUUAAAUUAUAGACUCUUAUUCUGAAUUCCUUGACUACUGUCAAAACAUAUUUGUGUCAAGGUUUCAAUCCCUGUCAUCAUCUGAGAAGCCUUGAUUAGUUCACGUUGCAGACUUUCUGUUUAUAAUGAGAGCAUUUCUUAGCAUCUUGACCUUUCAGAUCAUUUAUAUCAAAACUAAUAUUCCAGGGCUUUAUGUUUUAAUGAAUAUACAGUUGUCAACACUUUUCAUCUUCUUUUUAUACUCUAAAUCAUGCUACUUUCAGUAAGCUAUUUCUUUCUAAUUAUUUUUUAUGUUCAGAUGGUAAAAAAUAAUGGAAUUACUUACAGUUUUAUUAUUGAUACAUAGGAUUUGGUUUGCAAAUGUAUAAUAUGCAAUGACA
rnacentral:lncRNA from 1 species